rnacentral:rRNA from 1 species
CGGCGGACGGGUGAGUAACGCGUGGGUAACCUGCCUUACACAGGGGGAUAACAGUUAGAAAUGACUGCUAAUACCGCAUAAGACCCCGGUACCGCAUGGUACAGAGGUAAAAACUGAGGUGGUGUAAGAUGGACCCGCGUCUGAUUAGGUAGUUGGUGAGGUAACGGCUCACCAAGCCGACGAUCAGUAGCCGGUCUGAGAGGGUGGACGGCCACAUUGGGACUGAGACACGGCCCAGACUCCUACGGGAGGCAGCAG